ACGACCUUACUUGAACAGGAUCUGUUCUAUAGGAUCGUACCGCUGCAUCCUUUACAAUAAGGAGGCAAGCACUAAAGUCUGGUUGAUGCACUGUGACCUCUGGGCUAGAGCGUGAUUAACGGCUAGGCUGCACCACCUGGUGGUGUCAUCCGACGGCUGUAGAGGAUCGUUCCUGGCUGGUAAAACAGUUCAGGGUGGCCCAGAGGUUGUCUGACAGACC